rfam:Bacteroidetes bacterium RIFCSPHIGHO2_02_FTLL_44_7 rifcsphigho2_02_scaffold_458141, whole genome shotgun sequence.
UGCCGGGUCGUCUAAUGGUAGGACCCAUGACUCUGGAUCAUGGUAUCUAGGUUCGAAUCCUAGCCCGGCAG